rnacentral:rRNA from 1 species
UGGCGAACGGGUGAGUAACACGUGGGUAACCUGCCCAUCAGAAGGGGAUAACACUUGGAAACAGGUGCUAAUACCGUAUAACACUAUUUUCCGCAUGGAAGAAAGUUGAAAGGCGCUUUUGCGUCACUGAUGGAUGGACCCGCGGUGCAUUAGCUAGUUGGUGAGGUAACGGCUCACCAAGGCAACGAUGCAUAGCCGACCUGAGAGGGUGAUCGGCCACACUGGGACUGAGACACGGCCCAGACUCCUACGGGAGGCAGCAGUAGGGAAUCUUCGGCAAUGGACGAAAGUCUGACCGAGCAACGCCGCGUGAGUGAAGAAGGUUUUCGGAUCGUAAAACUCUGUUGUUAGAGAAGAACAAGGAUGAGAGUAGAACGUUCAUCCCUUGACGUAUCUACCAGAAG